rnacentral:lncRNA from 1 species
CCUCCCUCUCAUUAUAUAUAUAUAUAUAUAUAUAUAUAUAUAUAUAUAUAUAUAUAUAUAUAUAUAUAUAUAUAGUCCGGCUAUGGUGCUUGUAAAAGUACCAAGUAUUUGGUGCUUAUAAAUUUUUUACCGUUAUAUAUAUAUAACUAGGCUGGAAUACUAUCAAUAGCACAAAGCUAUUGGUGCUAUUGAUUUUUUAGCCCUUAAAUUGAGAAAUGGGUGGUUAGGAUGAUGUGGACCCUCGAGGGUUGAGUGAGUGAUUAGUUGAAUAGUAUAAUCUAACGGAUAAAAAUAAUCAAAGGGUUAAAUCUAACGGUGAAAACUCGAUAGCACCAAAUCCUUGGUACUAUCGAUAGUACCUCAGCCGGACUCAUAUAUAUAUAUAUAUAUAUAUAUAUAUAAUAUUUUAUUUAUAAGCAUAAUAUAGUUUGUUAUUUUUUUUACUUAAUUAGUCUAAUUUUGUAGUUUUUUAUUUUUAUAUUUUUAAAAAAUAUGAGUAUUUAUGCUAAUAGUAUAAAUCUUGAGAGAAAAAAACUUAAUUUAAUAGUCGAAUUUUUAAUUGGUGAACAUAUAAUAUCCGUAUAAAUCACGUAUCCGAAUAAUUACCGAAUCCGUUUUUUAACCGUAUUUUUUAACGAAUUUAAAAAUUAAAAGAUAAAUUUUAUCCGAAUUAUACUCGUACCGAAUUUUUGUCCGAAUCCGAAUUAACUAACUAUGGGUCUAAGUAAAACCUCAGUGCAAGAGAAACAAAAAAAAAAAAAAAAAAAAAAAAAAAAAACUAGCAGAAUCUGUAUCUGAAGAUUUGCUUUUGGGCAUUACAAAUCUCAAAGUGCAAAUUGUCAAAAGGGGGUCCCCUUGUUUCAGUGGAUCUAAACAUUCCACAUCUAUGACAUCACAAAUAGAACGCCUUUUAUGAUUUUGUGUGAUGGUUUUUAGUAGAUUACUACAUCCAUUGCUUAAUGAGACAAAUUCCCCUCCAAAGCUAUUGGAGAUGAAGGACCUUUUACUUUGGAAUCAAACCAUAUAUAUAUAUAUAUAUAGUCCGGCUAUGGUAUUUGUAAAAGCACCAAGCAUUUGGUGCUUGUAAAUUUUUUACCGUUAGAUCUACAUCUUUGAUCAUUUUCAUCCGUUAGAUCAUACUAUUAAAUCAACCACCCACUCAACCCUAGGGAGCCUACAUUAUCCUAACCGCACAUUCCUUAAUCCAAGGGCCGAAAACUUACAAGUACCAAUGACUUGGUACUUUUAAAAUAUAGGAGCUCAAUUUUAUAUAUAUAUAUAUAUAUAUAUAUAUAUAUAUAUAUAUAUAUGAUGGUAGUGGAAAAGUUGAGGAAAAGAUGCAUGUAAUUAUGUAAGGUGAUUGAGGGAUAAAUACCUGGGGAAAAUUCCUUACCCACUCACAUAAUUCGCAAACAUUAAAAUUUGGAUAAACUUCAAAUAUCACCUAUUUGGUUUCGUGCUUUUUACUUUAAUAUUCUAUGGUUUUAAAUGAAUGAUUUUAGUAUUCCGUGAGUUUAUUUUUCUUUUUUCGUCGGUACCUUCGUUAAAUCAUACAAAAAAACUUAAGAUAUCUCACAUAUGGUUUACCGAAUUUUUACUUUAGUAUCAUGUGGUUUACUGAAUUUUUUAUUUUAGUACCCUGUGGUUUUAAUUUUGUCACUAAUUUAACAAAAAAAUCAAUAUAAAAAAAUAAAACUAUAGAUUAUUAUUAAACGCCAUAUGAUUCCACCUUUCUCAUGAAGCACACCAUCUUUUGUUAAAAAAAAAAAAACCCCCCAUAUAAUUAUCCACUUGUAAAUUUUAUAUUUUAAAAAUUUUGACCACCGAUACAGUUCUUCUAAAAUGUUGCUUUUAGAGCAUAUAUUAUAUUUGGCUAUGAUUUAAAUUUUUGUUAUUCUGACCACUCGUACUAACAUAAUUUGUCUGAUUUUGAAUGAAAGAAAUCGAAUCUCUAUUAAUAAAAGGUCGUUUGAUUUUGACAGUACAUUUUAUAUUUGCUUGAUAAAUUUUAUUGUAACUUUCUAUUCAAUUUUCAUAUAUUUUCAAUAUUAUAAAUUAUAUUUAAUGGUAUAAACUAUUCGAUUCGGAAGCUGUAUCAUUCAUUUAAAAAUAAUUUGCGAGUAUGAAAAUCACGGUGUUUAUGAAAUUAUAGUUGAUUUGUACACCUCCAGCUAAAUUUUUUUUGUUUAUUUUGUUUAUUUUUUUUUUUAAUUUUUUUUUUUUUCUAUUGAUGGAUUCUGAAGCGCAUUGAAGCCACAGGUCCCUGUUUUAUAACAUUUCCUUUUUUUUUUUUCUCACUGCAACAAAAGCUACAAUAUAUUAUUAUUAUCAUAUUAUUAUUAGAGUGAGGCUACUAUGUUAUCGGAAGCACGGAGCCUUCCGUGCUUCCAGCUCGUUUUCGAUUUGCGACUUUCGAAUCGUCGAUCGGCUCCGUUAAACUUGAUCUAGAGUAUUUGAAAUACCUAGAAAAUAAAUUUUAUGAUUUUAUGAUAUCAUUUACCUAGUGAACGAAGGGGUUCAAAAUAAACUGUAAGCACGGAAGGUUCCGUGCUUCCGAUAGCAUAGUAGCCUCACUCUUAUUAUUAUGUACAUGAGAAAAUGCUAUACUAGGAAAGAGACGAGGUAAUUUGACCGAUUUACCCCUACCCUCUGACGAGGAGACAAUAAAGUUUGACCGAGUCUAGGCAGGGCAGUUUUGUCUUUUUCCCUAAGAAGGGAGAAAAGGCCAACUAAGUGUUCUAUUUAAUUUUUUCCUUUUGUACUCUUCUCAUAAAUGGAUAUCCUUUAAGCCCUCAUCACGGGUCUUACAAUCUCAUCAGCUCACUAACCAACUCUUAACUUUUCUGAGAAAAGGAAAGGAGCUAAUUAGUACUAAAUUGUCACAAAAUAGCUGGCUUUUCCUUAAUAUUUUAUAUAAAUUAAUCAUACUAUAUACAUAUUAUAUUAUAUAAUUUGUGUGGAGUACUAUUAAUAGUAUGAAAAUAAUAUUUACUGUCGAUUUUUUUCUCAUUCUGUGCAUAUCUAGAGUUUAAUGGAGAUUGAUGGAACAGUAAUAACUAAAGAAUGAAAAAGUUGAUAUAAAUAAAACCAGAGAAAAUUAUUGAGAUAUUUAUUAAAUAUAUGCCAAAAUUAACGGUGAAGAGGAGGCGGUGGUGUUAGUUGUUAGAGAAAAACGAUUAUUUCAAAUUAAUUAACUUAACAUGGUAUUAGAGUAGUAGUUCCUAAGCUCAUUAAUCGAGUCCUAUCAUGCUCUUUAUGUUAUUUAAAUUUCUACUAUUUAAUUCGGUUUCAUCUUUUGACCAUCAAAAUAAUCUCGAGCUCGGACGUGAGAAGGGGAUAUUACAUAUAAAUAUUGAAAAUACUGUUCCUUGAUAACUUAAACUUAGUUUGGUUCGGGUAUAAGCAAGAACUAGCUAUUACAGGGAUAGAUACAAGUAUGGGGAUAAGAAAAAUAGCGUUUGGAUGAAAAUUGGGUCGUUUUCGGGGAUAAAAAAAAUAUUAGAUAGUUUUAUAUAAAAAAUAAAAGUGUUGGUGGGGAUAACUGAGAACUACUAUUCUCGGGUAAAAAAUUAGCGUUUGGAUAUAAAAGAGGGAUAAGGGCCUAUUUCUAUCCCUAUCCCCUAACCAAACGCUGAGAACAAAAUUAACAGCGAGAGGAAGACGUCUUCUACUACUACUACUGCUGCUGCUGCUGCUGCCGCUGCUAGCUUAGAUAGCUAUAGAUUUUCAUUCAUCCCUUUGGGAAGGCAGAUUCUCAAUAUAUUUGGUGCCCAGUAACUUUCUGGUGCUCAAUAAUGUAAUCAUUCAUCCAAAAUGCGAGAUGCAUCUCAAUAAAUGGGGACGACUCCUAUGCUUUGCCAAGUGGAUGAGAUGCCACCCCUAUAUUCAGAUGUACGAUUAAAUCAAUCAGCUGUUUUACUUAUAUUGUGUAUUAAAAUAUGUAAUUAAAGAAUCUACGCGAUCCGAUGUUCUCCUACAUCAUUUCCCCUUUUUAGACAAAUUGCGAAGUAUCAAUUCCCUUAACUGGAUUCACCAAUUAGACCACCACAACCCCCCAGAAAACUAACCCCCUCCUCCCCUCCUGCAUAUAAAAAGUAGAAACAGCAGUACUCCAAAACAACACAAUAUCCAAUUCGAUCUGCAGCUCACAUCUCUCUUUCUCAUCAAUGGCUUCUGGGUCGAAAUGGACGUACUCGCAGAACAAGCGGUUCGAGGAUGUGCUGGCGGAGUACGCCGAGGACACGCCGGACCGGUGGCACAACGUCGCGCGGGCCGUCGGCGGGGGGAUGACGGCGGAGGAAGCCAAGUGGCGCUACGAGCUGCUCGUCAAGGACGUCGAGCUCAUCGAGUCCGGCCGCGUCCCGUUCCCCAAGUACGGUACCCCGCCGGGCGAGGCGGCCGCAGCAAAAGCGGCGGCGCGGACGGGGAGGAGAGGUAAGGAGAACUCAUUCCAGUAAAAUCCUAUUAUACAUAGCUGCUCCAUUCAUGUCUCGCAUAGUGACGAGUUUAGACGCACUCCCAGCGAGAAAAUUUUAUGUACAGUCGAUGAGCCAGAUUUUUUUUUUUUUUUUUUAAUAAAAGCGGGAUAACUCUUAUUUAAAUUUCAACUUUAACAACUUAAGCAAAUUAUUUUACUUUAUGAUUUGGAUUGGAGCCCUCAAAAUAUAUCUUUUUCUAUUGAGACUCAACUUCUGAUUUUUUUAGAAUUUUUAUACGUAAUUAAGUUUGAAGUUUUAUCAAAUUAUUAAGUAUUAUCUGUUUAGUUCAAUUUGCUACAAAGUGAUUACAAUAUUUAGCAAAAUUACUGAUUAAUUCCAUAGAUUUCAUAAAUUUUUAGACUAAUAUCGCUUAAUUUAAAAACAAUCUAAAAUUAAAAAGGUAUCAACAAAAAGAACAAAGAAACUGAGGGGGUCACCAUAAACUUUUACCUAUAUAAUAUCAUAAAUUAUUAAAAAUUUGAUUGUUAAUUCUACUUUUGGUUUAUUUUUUGUACCCAAAGCAUUGGACUUCUUAAAACAAGUAAGAAAUCAAUCGUACUCGCAGUGCAGUUGGCUAAAGACUUGAUAGUUAGUACUUUAAAUUUUAAAUUUGAAACUUAAUUGUUUCAUCACUACAACAAAAUUAGAUUAUAAAAAUAUAUUUUUUAGACACUUUUAUGUAAAUAUUCUAUUUAUGCUAAAACAUUUUUAAAAAAUCUACAAACAAAAAGUUAUUCUACUCAACCAACCAAACUCAGCCCACUCGGUCCGAUUACAAAUAAAAAAGAAAAAAAAAAAGUUGAUCAUCAUCUCCCUUUAUCCUCCUCCGUCGCCGCAGCCGACGAGGUAGGGUUCCGGCGGCUGGAGUUCAACCACGAGGAUCUCGCAGGGACCGUAGAGGGCUACGAUUGUCACAUAUACCUCCGCCAGAAGUCACUGGAGGAGUGGGUGCCAAAUAUCAAGGCGGCCCUACCUAUACCGACUCUACAUAUAGCAACACGUUUAAAAAGUGUCGAUAAUUUAGCAACAUUACUUUUUUUGACCUGUACUGACAUUUAAAAAUAUCAUUAUUUAUUGUAGUGCAUAUUUCUAGCUAUUUAAAAAAAAAAAAAAAAAAAAAANUUGCAACUUUUCUAAGGAAAAAAAAAAAAGGUACAGCACAUUACUGAUUAGGAGUAAUUAUUUAUCAUGUUUCUAUUUAUUUCAAAAAUUGUAGCUAUAUAAGAAAUAACUAAGAAUAGUUUAUUUCUAAACAGAAUGGUACCUAAUGGAUCUUACAAGUGAUCACAUGAAAUCUAAUCUUGGUGGAUUAUAUCAUGCUUUAAAAGGAAAGCCUGACCUUCCAAACUUAUGGCUGACAGGGCUGCUGGGUAUGCCUUUUCAAGUCACUCUCAGCUGUAGCAUUUGAAAAGCCACAUAAUACUUUAUUGUGGAAAAUAAUAUAAUAAAUCUUCAUAUACUUCCAAAGUUCCAAAAUUAGUAAGCUGUAGCACUUAUGCCUGAUUAAUUGUGGUCCACAUUUUCAACAACUAGGCUCUGUUUGAUUUACACAUAAAGUGGGGAUAAUAAAGAUUACUUUUGUUAUUCUGCCAAACGAAAUAUUUUUUAGUCCAAAUAUUUUAUUCCGAUCAAAUUUUACUAUUCUGAGUUAUUCCGGAAUGGCUUGGUAUAAAUUAUUCUACUUUUUUGGCGUAAUACUGUUAUUUUAAAAUUUAAUUCCAAUCUUUAUUAAAAUUAUAAAUUGAAUUAAAAUUAAAUUUUAUAGACAUGAUAUCUAAUAUAUUAUAAUAAUUUUAUUAUAAAAUUAUUAAUUGUAAUAUAUUAAUACAUAUUAUUUAUAUUUAAAUAUUAUAAUAAUUUGUUUUAUAAAUUUAUUUUUACAAUAGUUAUUUUUAUAUUAAAUUUUAUUUAUUUGUCAAAUUCAACCACACUUUUUUUUAUUAUUCUCUACUAUUCAUAAAUUAAACAAACACAUUUUAGUUAUUCCUAGAAAUAACAGUAUUACAAACUAAAUAUUAUUUUAACUUUACUUUUGCUUCCUGGACUAUUCUGAAAGUAGUAAACUAUCAUUGAAUUUGAUGAAGUGAUAUUAUAUAUUAUAUAUAUAUAUUAUAAUAUAAUAUAUAUAUGAGUUCGCAAUAUUGUGUUUUUAAAGUAUCAAAUAUUUGGUAGUUAUAAGUUUUUCAUCGUUAGAUUUAUUCUUUUGAUCAUUUUUCCCUCAGAUUCAUAUUAUUUAAUUAACCAUUCACUUAACCCUAGAGGAUGCACAUUUCUUAAUCUAAGACCGAAACAUUACCAGCAUAAUGAUUGAUAUUUUUAAAAAUAUUAGAAACUGUCUUCUCUCUCUCUCUCUCUUCUCUAUAUAUAGAUAUUAUUGGAGUUUUAUUUUUAAAGGUUUAUAUCUUAUUGUGUACUUCAAUCACUGUAGCUAUAAAACCUUUUUUCCCCUAUUUUGCGUUGUCUAUAAUGGUAAAAUGUACAUAUCCUUAUUAUUGAUCUUCAUUAACAUGCUCUAUGAGAGAUCAUGUGUUACAUUAUCUUUUUCACGGUUGAAGUAUUUAAAGCCCCAUUGAUGAGAGAGAGAGAGAGAGAGAGAGAGAGAACCACAGCUGUGUUUUAUAGGAUUAGUUGGUGCAAAUUAAUUAAUGAGGGGAGGUGAAAGUUUCAGUGAGUGUGAAUGUGUACAUGGUGUAACAAGAUCAUAAUCACUAAUCUCUGAUAUAUUUUUUUAAAUUUUGUUAUGUGAUUUUCGUCUUGUAAUUAAGUUUUUUAUAUUAUAAUAUAUUAUUAUAUUUAUAUAUAGAGAGAGAGAGAUGGGAGAGAGAGAGAGAGAAGAGAGAGAUGGAGAGAGAAGAGAGCUAGGCUGCUAUACUAUCAGGUAGCACGGAGGCCUCGUGCUACCAAGUUGUUUUCAAUGAUGCGGUUAUAAUCGACGAUCGGCUCCGUUAGACUUGAUCUACACUAUUGAAGGUAUUUGGAACACUAAAUUUAUAAUUUUUCGGCAUCAUUUACCAAUCAAACGAGUAGUCUAAAAUGAACGGCUGAAAAUGAAAAAUCUCAUAAAAAUAGUGAUAAAGAAUUCAAAAUUCAAAUCGGAAGUAUUGGUCUUGCUAUUGAGUGUUAAGUAGAAUUUUUCUAUUAAUUUUCAUCUUAAUUUGGAUAAUUCUUCACUGUUGAACUUUAAAACGCAUUAUAUCUACCAUUAAAUUAGUUAAUUUUGGAACCUUUUGAUCCCUAGCAAAUAAUGUCGAAAAAUUUGAAAUUUAAUCUUCAAAUACUUUUAAUAGUGUGUAGAUCAAGUCUAACGGAGCGAUCUAUGCGAUUUGAACAGCGAAUCAUUGAACACACUUUACCGGAUGCACGAGGCCUCCAUUGCUACGAUAGUAUACCAGCUAGUUUCUAUCUCUCUCUCUUCUCUCUUCUCUUCUCUCUCUCUCUCUCUCUCUAAAAAUCUUGACAUAUAAACUACUUAUUAGUUUUUCGCUCAGUGAAAUUAUUGAUUACCUAAGAAUUGGUAUUCCAAUAAUACUAGGUAAAAAUUAUGAGUUGUGGAUUCGAAUUCUGAAAAUUACUAAAAAAGAAAGUUUUAUUGAAAGCAUGAAGUUAGAUUAUAGUUGAGCAUAUUGGUUGCUCCUUUGUGGGAAAGAGAAUACGAAGAUCCACUUAUUUUAUAGCAAUUUUUGUAAGACAAAUUAUAUAUGUAAAGAGGUCAUUUCCAAUGGAAACGGGGGAAAUUAGAAACUAAUGAAGGAAAUUUUAUUGAGAAAAGUAUUAUUAUUAUUUUUUUCAAACAGUUAUAUUCAAAUUUUUUUCGCAAAUUAAAAUUUAAACUUGCCCCAAUCUAAUACAAGCCCGUAACUCAAAGAUGUGACAUAUUUAUUAUAAUUCACAUAAUCUACCUCAAUUCUUUAUUUUUUGAGUUUUAAAUCAGUGUGGAAUUAUUCUGUCCUAUGAAGAAUAGAUGAAGACACAACACACAAAUCUACAAAUGUAUUGGAUACAAACAAUAAUUUCUCAUAAAUAUCAAAUGAUUUAAAUUAAUCAAAGAAAUUUCAAAGUUAGAUCAUAAAAGCUCACAUUUUUUUAAAAAAAAAUUAAUGGUCCUUUUUACAUGACUUAUUACUUUCAUAUGCUAUUUUUUUUUCCACCAAAAAGAAAAGAAAAGAAUAAGAAAUAAAAAAAAUGUUUGAGACAGCAAAAUCCAUAGCCAAGUAGUGUACUUAAAAAAGUUUCAACUCUGUUACCCAAAAAAAUUAUCUAGUUUGAAACAACUUAAAAUUAUUUUUAACACUUUUGCUCUUAUUCAUGAUAAAUAUAAAGAGAUGAGGAUUUAAUCCAUUGAAUACGUGUGUAAAUUUAAGAAAAAACUUCAAAUACUACUGAUGUGGUUUUGUACUUUCUUACUUUAGUGUCUUGUGAUUUAAAGUGUAUCAAUUUAGUACUCUGUGGUUUUAUUUUUAUUUUUUAUUAUCCAUUCCACUAAUUUUUUUCGUUAAAUCAGUGACAAAGUUAAAACUAAAGGGUACGAAAGUGAAUGUUCGAUAAAUCUAGACGGGUAUCUAAAAUUUAUUGUAUAUAAUUUAACGAAAUAUUAACGAAGGAGCUGACGAAAAGAGAAAAAUAAAAGCCACAUAAUACUAGCUUGAUAUACUUUAAACCGUAGGAUAUAUACUAAAGUGAGAAUGUGUAAAAGCACAGGAGUGAUAUUUGAAGUUUACCCUAAAUUUAAUUCAACAGAUAUCUAAAGGUAAAAAUUGAAUAAUUCAAAAUCUCACAAAAUAACAAGAGCUUUGGAUUGACUCCCAUACCAUGGCACACCCUUACCCAAUAAUCUAAUUUUAAUACCAUAGAGAUUUAUUGAAAUUGGAUCUCAUAAACUAAUCCCAUUGCUUAUUCGUUUCUCUAUACAUUUGUUUACUCCAAAUCUAACAAAAUAUUUAGCUUAAUUAUGUUUGGAUAAAAUUUAAAUCUCCAUUAUUAAUUUUUAUCUGAUGCAUUAUCAUAAGUGUUGGAAUAUUAACAAAAAUCAAAAUUUAUUAAUUAAUGCCCCACUAACCAAUUGUAGCUACCCACACAUUUCUCUAUUAAUUAGUCUCCCAUCUUUUACUAGAAAAAAUGUGUGAUGUUUAUGAUUUAGAUAAGUAUAAUAAUUAAUGUUAACACUUCAUAACGUGAACUUAAUUAAUAUCAGGAUUACUAAUUAUUAUAUAUUAAUAUUUCGUUUGAAGAUAAAUGUGCAUGGCACGUUAUGUGGACCACUUGUGAAAGAGAGGUGCGACUAAUUCAAAAUUUUUUAAUCAAUUGUUGGAUUUGGUGCACCACAUCACUUGUAGACCAAAUGAUUCGCUCUAUUUGCGGUGAAAAAUUGUAAGAGGUGUUGGUGUGGUGGUGAAAUUAUUAUUCGGAGUUCCGAGUAAUUGAUUUAUUAUACCAUAAUAAGAGAUUUUGUAAUUUUCAUACUUUAUGAAAAUUAUUAUGAAUUGUCCAAUAAUAAUUAGAAUAUAUUUUCCAAUAAAUUUUUUUUAAAAUUUUUUAGGGUUACUAAGCUAAAAAAUUAAUAUUCAAGUCAACGGUUAACUACCUGAAAGAAAAAUAAUGCCCGUAUCCUUAAAUAAUUAUUUAUAAAAGACAAUAUAAAUUUUGAUUUUUUUCACUUUCUAACUCUAAUUAACCGUUGUUGAUUGUGCUAAAAAAUAAUAAAAAUAAAAUUAAAGUAAUUAAGACAGAGCGGUUAAUAUGAAUACCAGAUAACGCAGAUUCAAUCGCGCCAAUAAAAAAUAGUUAUGAGAUGUAUUUGUGUCUCACUUCAGAUAUUUAUUAUUUUUUAAUUAAAAUUCUGAAUUAUCUAUUUUUCUGCGUAGUUGUUGGAUUAUAAUUUGAAAGUUAGAGAAAUUUUAUUAAAAUAUUCCGCACGUGAUUCGAGGGAGAUUUUAAAAUUGAUUCCGACGUGGAUCCACGUCGGAAUCAAAUUUAAAAUUGAUUCAACUGGUCUCGGUUCACCACGUCAGAUUGGUAUGACAUGAAUUCAACUGGUCUCGGUUCACCACGUGAGCUGGACCGGUUCUUUGAUUCAAAUUAAGUCGUGCUGCAACAUUCGUCCACAGUAACUCUCUCUCUCUCUCUCUCUCAAUCUUUAAUUUAGUUUAGAUUUUAUAAAAAAAUUAAUUUUUGAAUGAGCGAUUAGAGAGGGAGAUAAAUGGCUAAGAUGUUUUACUCUUAUUUUACUCUAAAAUUUAUAAAUUUAAUUUUUUGAGGUUGUUUUAUUUUUUUCCCUCCAAAAGCUAUUGGAAAAAAAAAAAGUAAUUUAAAUACCAUACUUUUAACAAAUAUUCUAGUUUUAUAACAUUUUUCAAAAAAGCCUAAUGGUAGAGUGAUAUAUCAGGUACAACUCUAGCUUUUAUCGUGUAGCUUAUUUUGAGGUAAAUACACCGGAGAAUUUAUGGUACAAAAAGCCUAUAGUUAUUGUAAAAAUUUUAUAGGGUUACUUUUAUAUAGUUUUUUGUAAAUAUAUCGAAUAACAAAAUUAUAUCUCUAUAAAAUUUAAUUUUUCAUAUUUAUUCUUAUAAAAGUCUAGCGAUAUUCAUAUUUGUCUAUUUAUUUUGUUACAGUUAAAACAUUAUUUAUUUUUUAAUAAUAAAUAAGUGAAACGAUAUUUUUUUCGUCACAAAUAUGUCUCUCCAAUAAUCUUAACUAUUAAAAUUAUGUAAAAAUAUUCUUCAAAAAAUUUUCAACUGUAAUCAUCUUUCUUUCUAUAUUACAAAUAAUGUAAGAGGAGUAAAAUAAUUAAUUUACUUCAUUCAGUAAUCAAGAUUAAGUAUUUUAUUUAUAAUUAACUAUAUUUUUCUAAGGAAUCCUAACUGUAGGAGUAUGUUUGAAAAUAUUAGAACUUCAAUAUGUUUACAUAGAGUUGUAUACAAUUAACCCGUAUACAUGUAUAAGUGGUGCGGUCCACGUAGGACGUGGUGGACCAGGCUCACUCUCAGCCAGGUCAUCACUCUCCGCGGGCCCCGCUACACUGUUCCAACGACCUCUCUCUCUAACUCCCUCUCUCUCUCUCUCUAACCGGUUGAAGGAGAAAAGAAGGGGAAGAAGAAAAGAGGAAGAAGAAAAAGAGAGGAAGAAAAGGAAGGAGAAGAAGGAGAAGAAGGUUUGGGAGCUCUUCUUCACCUCAUUCUUGGUUUAGGGCUUGCUUUAGAGCAAACCCUAGAGGUAAGCUCUAACCCUAGUUUUGGAUUUCUAAGGUUUGGAUGGUUUUUGUUGCUUUUAUUGGUUCAAAUGGAACCUAAUGAGCUUAGAGAUGAUGGANCUCCCUCUCUCUCUCUCUCUCUCUCUCUCUCUCUCUCUCUCUUCUCUCUCUCGGUUUCUCGUUCUCGCUCCCUACACUCUCGCUUCGUUGUUCCCUCCACCUCCUUUCUCUAUCUCUCUCGUCCCUCAGGAGCGAGCUAGGGUUUGAUAGAGAUCGGAGGAGGAGGAGGAGGAGGAGGAAGACGACGAAGCUGCAUACGAUGAUCACGAGCGGCGGCGGCGGAGGUGGGGACGAGAGCGGCGGGGAGGAGGCGGAGAGGUCGUCGUCGGACCUCCGGCGACCGUUCCUUCACACGGGGAGCUGGUACAAGAUGAGCGGCGCGGCGGUGGCGGCGGCGGGGUCGGGGAUGGGGUCGGCGCAGUCGAGCCUCAUGGGGUCCUCCGCCAUGGUGCUCCGCGACUCAUCCGUCUCCGUCGUGCUCUGCACCCUCAUCGUCGCCCUCGGCCCCAUCCAGUUCGGCUUCACCGGGGGCUACUCCUCCCCCACCCAGGACGGCAUCAUCGCCGAUCUCCACCUCUCCCUCUCCGAGGUUCGAUCACCAUUCCUGAUCCCGGAUUUUGAAUGAUUUGGAUGUGAUUCACGGUCUAAUUAUGCUGUUUCGGAAGGAAUGUAGAUGUCGACGAAGAGACAGCACGAGAUAUUAUGAAUUAAUUAUAUACAUUACUCGAAUGAUGCAACAAUUUAAUCAAGUAUAAUUCAAUUACCCGGAAAAUAAGGUGAUUAUGUCAGAUAUUUUAUUUUUUGUAUUGUUAUGCUGUUUAUUUAUAUUUUUUUAAACCGAAUUCUCCCUCUCUAGGGUCCCUUGCCACCAUUUCCAACUCCCUGAACAGUUCCUUGUUUUAGAUUUUUUUUUUUCGAAUUUUUAAAGGAAUUGUUUUCCUUUUUUUUUUAGGUCUAAUUUUCUCCAGUUAUUCACUUGUUUAGAUGUUGACAAAGAAAAAGCACAAAAAAUUAAGAAUAAUCUGUCUAUAUUAUUCAAACAAUUCAAGUAUUUUAUUUCAUUGGUUAUUUGUCUCAAUGUUUAAAUUUCUUACUGUGACAACGCAAGAAAAUGAGAUAAUUAAUUAAAAUUGUUUUUAACUAUUUUGCUGUGCGUUGAUUUUUUUUUUUUUUACUUCUCUUGACAUACCGAAAGCACAGGAAAUUGAUAAUUAGCUGGAUAACUAUUCAAAUAGUUCGAGAAUUUGUCCAAAUUUAGUUUACAUCUUACUGUAUAAUAUAUACUCUUAUUCAUGAUAGCUUUUGGGUUUUUAGCCCUUCUGAAUCAACAAACAGUUGAUGUUUUUAUUGUCUCUAUAACUACUAAUAACUAUUUCACUCGGACCACAAGAAAAAAUAAGGUAAUUAUAUCAGAUGUUUUAAUUGUUAUUUUAUAUUAUGUUUCCAUAAAGGGCAAAGCGAUCUGAUUUUCCAAUCUAUAUCAACGGAUUGCUUUUUUGAUCAUGCUGAACAAACGCGGAAUGAGAUAUUUGUGAUCACGCUCUUUUUCUUCCUUUUCUCUAAUUGAACUCAAAUGUUGGUUAUUUGAUUGGGUUUGGUUGCGGAUUUAUGUUUCAGUUUUCGAUCUUUGGUUCUCUCUCCAAUGUGGGUGCGAUGGUUGGGGCCAUUGCAAGUGGGCAGAUGGCAGAGUAUAUCGGACGUAAAGGGGUAGAAACUCUCUUGCUAUCUCGGCCAAUUCUAAAUCUAGCCACUGUAAAAUAGAUUUGAUUUUUGAUGUGUAAUGAAUGGAAAUGGUACUUGUUUUGCAGUCAUUGAUGAUUGCCUCCAUUCCGAAUAUUAUAGGUUGGCUUGCAAUAUCAUUUGCACAAGUGGGUAAUUUUUCAAGUUUAUAUCUUUAUUUUUGCUUUCCACUCGUCUGUUUGGAUGUCAUAUUGAUUUAGGUACAUGGUAAAUACAAUUUUACCAGGAUUCAUCAUUCUUGUAUAUGGGGAGGUUGCUGGAAGGAUUUGGAGUUGGUAUUAUCUCCUACACGGUUGGCUAAGAUUCCCUUCCCUGUUUAAAAAACCAUUUAGAAAUUCUUUUUGGCUACUCUUUGAUUCUCUUGACCAUGCUCUAUUAUAUAUAUCUAGGUACCUGUAUACAUAGCAGAGAUAGCUCCCCAGAACAUGAGAGGAGCCCUCGGCGCUGUAAAUCAGGUAGGUUCAUUCUUCGCGAUAGCAAAUCCUUCCUCUUUUUCUUUUGUUCUCUAAUAGUGAUCAUUACAAGUUUUUUUUUUUUUUUUUCCGAUCCACUGUUUUCAGCUGUCUAUUACAAUUGGCGUUUUACUGGCUUACCUACUCGGUAUGUUUGUCCCAUGGAGACUGCUUGCUGUGAUAGGUGAAGUACCUAAUUCUUUUGGUAUCUUGAGUUGGGAUUGGUGAUAUUUUGGUGAUUUAUAAGCUGCUUUGACUUUAAAGAAAAUUUGCAAGUGGAUGCGUACUCUCAUUGGGAAUGAGACAAAAUUAGUUACUUAUACAGUCAAGCUUGUUCCUUUUUCAUUAUCAUGCCAAGUAAAAGCGAACUGUUCUCUUGAUGCUUGAUUAACUGUUCAAUGAUCUCUGACCUACCAUUAAUUACAGGCACUUUACCCUGCAUAAUCCUUGUACCUGGUUUAUUCUUUAUUCCUGAGUCUCCAAGGUGGCUGGUAAGAGUCAUGGUAUAUUUGCUUGUUGAACAAAAGAGCUGGAACCUACUAAAACCCUUCUUCCCCACUAUAUCUAGGCAAAGAUGGGGUUGAUGGAAGAUUUUGAGACUUCGUUACAAGUUUUGAGGGGAUUUGACACUGACAUUUCUCUGGAAAUUAAUGAUAUCAAGGUUGGUAUUGUCCUUCUUUUCUGAAUGUUUAUAAAUCAUUUUCAUCACAUUAGCUAGCUAGUCACUGGAUCACUAGGAGCUUAUGUGCCAGGUGAUGUGUUCUAACCAAAUGUGUCAAACUUACUUAUUUGAUGGCCUGCUUUUUGGCAGAGAGCAGUAGCAUCAGCAAAUAAAAGGACAACACUCCAUUUGUCGCAUCUAAACCAGAAAAGAUACCGCACUCCACUUUUGGUAAGUUGAUUUCUGUCAUUUCUUCAGUUAUAUUAUAACUGGCCAGUAGUUUAGCAUGUGAGUAUUAAUGCCUUGUGCUAUAAUGUUACAGCUCGGGAUCGGCCUGCUUGUGCUGCAGCAGCUAAGUGGAAUCAAUGGUAUCGUAUUUUAUGCUGGCAACAUUUUUAAAUCUGCCGGUAAGUUAAUCCAGUAUUUGGUUUUCUUAUUGCUUCACUCUUGCACCGCAGUAAAUAACAAUUUGUUCAAUAUAUAUUAGUUUAGUGCCUUGAUUGUAUUAAUGUUAGUUUUAAUAUUUUAUUUGCCCAUUAUUCUUGAUUUUGUUUUGUUUAUUAAUGCUUGUUGAUUUUCUAAUUAAACGCUACUUUUUUAGCAGAACUUCCUCUUUCAUCUGCGUAUUGUUGCUCAUUAUGAGGUGUGGUUUUGAUAACUCUUAAGAUGAUAGAGAUUAUUGUCUUAUUAGUCUUCUAUGCAUCUCUAAGAGUAUAAAAUAUCGAUGCAAUACCCUCUUGCUAAUAUCAUUAACCAUUAUAUUAGUUACAACAGGGUGUUUACAGAACUCAAGCAACAUUGAUCCAGUUAACACCUAAAUAAAAUAUUAAAGAAAAUUGACUGGUCUAAUUAUAAGCUGGCUAAAUUAUGCUACGCUUCCAUGUUGUUGUCACAAGUUGAUCGUGGUAUUUCUCUGCCAUGAACUCUCAGUGUCUUUUUUUUUUUUUUUUAGACAUGAACUGCCAUGAACUCUCAGUGUCUUGAUUUUCAAUUGCUUCAUUUGUGUCCUAUACUAGCAGAUCAUGCCUCGCACUAGCUUAUAUGCAGUGUAAGUGGUUACAAAUGUGUGCAAGUUCGCAUACUACUAUCUUUAGGAGUUUGUGUGCGCUCACAAACAGGAAACUACUUCUAGCGGUUUUUAGCAAUCGGUUUUAAUAAUCAAAUCAUCUGAUGCGAAGCUGUUAAUACUUAAGUUUCCAAUAGAUAUGCUUUUAAUUUUCUUUCCCUUCUUUGUAGUUACAUUUUGAAAUAACUACCGAGGCUGGUGCUUUUAUCUUUUGAUAUCUUAUUGCUGGCUUCCAUCUUUCCAUUUCACAUGCCAUUUUGCAAAUUAUUUUCCCAUAUCAUCCUACUCAUCCUUCUAGCUUACCUUGUUGCUGUUGGUAACUGAAGCAAUAUAAGAGUGUAAAAGUUUCUCCAGUUUGAUUCUGUUAUAUUUUCCUACUUUGAACAGGACUAACAGAUAGUAACUUAGCCACAUGUGGUCUUGGGGCUAUUCAGGUAACAAUCUUGUUUCUUGACUGGGAACUGGGACAUAAAAUAUCUUUCAUCUUGUAUUUUGAUGUGUCUAAUUUACUUAUUGAACAUAUACAUUCAGGUUCUCGCCACUGCAGUCACAACCUGGUUUCUUGACAAAGCUGGUCGACGAAUUCUCCUUAUUGUAUGUUGUAGCAGAAACCUUUUCUUCUCUAAGCAGCUUGUAUUCAACUAUUUGUGAAAGUUUACAUUACUUGGUUUCAGAUUUCUACUGCGGGAAUGACCAUCAGUCUGUUUUUUGUUUCUGCUGCAUUUUUCCUGGAGGUAGGUAUUGUCAUAGGCUGCUUAAAAUGACAUCUCUUAAUUCAAGAUUAUUGGGCGUGACUUACCCUUUGAUAAUUCAUCAUCUUCUUGACUUAACUGAAUGUUUUCCUUUGCUCUCUUUUAUUCUGUUAUAACCAGGAUAUUUUUUCUGAAGAUUCUCACAUUCAUCAUGUACUGAGUAUCCUCUCAUUGGUUGGACUUGUGGUAUGUUUUUCAUUUGAAAUGCUGUUUGCUUGCAGAUAUUUUCUAAGCUACUUAUCUCCUUUGAUUAUUUGAGCUCUUUCUUUUUAUUUCAAAACUUAUUCAGGCUAAUAUAGUUGCAUUUUCAUUUGGGUUGGGAGCCAUUCCAUGGAUCAUAAUGUCUGAGGUAUGGUACUUAGUCUUGUUACUAUUGUAUUUAAUAACUAGAUAGGAACAGAUUUGACCUUAAAGAGACAACUUGACGCAUGUCAUGUGUUUACCUUGUAGAAGCAAGUUCUCUUUUCAUGUCCUAUGAAUGCACCUUUUAAAUAUGAUGUAUUUUGGUUAUAAAUUAAUAUAAGAAUUCCUUUGCAUGUUAUGCUCGUAAGGAGAUACUUUGAUACGCCUGUACUGUCUGUAUAUAUAUAUAUAUAUAUAUAUAUAUAUAUAUAUAUAUAUAUAUAUCUUUUGGCUGUUUGAUCUCAGUAUAUCUAUGAUAUGAACCAAUGGAUACUUCUUUUGUUUUUCUUGUUUGACAUAGCAAAAAAUAACAAAAGCAGGUGCUAGACAUAUUUGUUAGUUCACCUAUUGGACACUUUUAGAUAAGUGAAUUAUGAUUUUUUGGCAAUUCUAUUAAUGGUUGGUAUUGUAGAGGUGGUCAAUUUGAAGAUAGAUGUAUAUGCUUGAAUCAUAUUUCGGUGGUCCUUUUGGUUGUUAGUUUCCUCUGGUGAUCAAUAUUUUAUGGUUCAAAUUUAGAGUAUAUGUUUACUAUUGUAGCCUGUUUGGAGGAUGCCUCAAAAUUAAGGUCGCAGCAGUGAGUUAUAGUGAAAAUAAUUGUGAUCUGUGGAUGCUGUUACAUUUCUGUUCAUUAUUCUUGUAUAUGCUUCUCUAUGUUUUCGCAAAAAAAAAAGUCUAUGUAAAUGAUAUCUCUAUUUUCUGUGUGACAUAACAAAUAUUCCUUCUUGGCUAUGCUGACAUGCAUUCUUUUGAUAUUGAUCAACAAGGUGAAUUAUGAUGAUUCUUCAUUUUGCAUAUUUUGUAUUCGUGUUGUUUUAGAUAUAUUUUUCAACUGAUCUUUAGGGUGAAUGAAUCAGAAGUGUAGCUAGAAUAGGAAAAAUUAUUGAACUUUUAGCUAACAGUUAUAUUAUACCCUUUAAUAUUAGCCUUGAUGAAAUUGACGUAACUGGAUCUUUGGCUCCUUUUAAGAGAUCCCUGUGUUGAAUUUUAACCAAAACACAUUUUGACCAUUUUUAUAGAUUGUAUUGCUAUUAUUAGACAAGCAGGGCACAAGAUCAUAUUGAUUUUCAACCAAACUCAUUACUUUGUGUACCUAAGUUGCCGCAUACUUUGUUCAGCUUCGCCAAUUUGAGAAGCGAUUUCUGCUAUCAGAAAGAGUGCAUUAUAUCACCAAUAAAUAUUCCUCCCAUGCAUCAAAAGAUAAAUAUUGCGCCUACUUUAGCUUUCUAUGGUAGCAAAUUUGUUUCGCUGUCUUUUUCCUUCAUCCUUAGACAUAAUCUCGAUGUCAACAGUAUUUAGGCUGAUCAUGUAUGAUGCCUUUUCAGAUACUUCCUGUUAAUAUCAAGAGCCUUGCUGGUAGCGUCGCAACCCUUGCCAACUGGCUCACAUCAUUUAUAGUUACAAUGACCGCAAACUUGUUGCUAAACUGGAGCAAUGGAGGUCUCUCUCUCUCCCUCCCUGUAGAAGUUUGUGCGAAGCUUGAUCCCAUUAAAUCUAUACCUUUCUUUUGCAGGAACCUUCACCAUCUACGCGAUCGUUAGCGCCUUCACUCUAGUGUUUGUUAUACUUUGGGUGCCCGAAACCAAGGGAAAAACACUUGAGGACAUACAGUGGUCUUUCAGAUGAGCAGUUUAAUUGCCCCAUCGACAAUCCUCUGCCGAAAAUAGCAAAUCAUUUUCAAUUAACUAUUCACACCAAUUUCAUCAAGCAGAAAUGAUGAGUACACAAAGCAUCAGAUUUUCGCAUUUAUGGGGUUUGUCGAGUCACUCCGCGGCAUCGAAUCACCCCUGAAUUUGUUACAUUUUUUUUUUUUAUUUUUGGGUAUUUUAGUCAGCCUGAUUUCAUUAGCUGGUCAAAGAACAGAUUUCAUUGUUCUUUUUUCUUCUUUUUUUUUUUUUUUUUGAAAAAGAGAGCUUUUAUACGAUUAGACAAAUAAACAUGUAAACCAGACCCCAAAUUUAGACAUAAAUAACAGAUUUGUGAGUUUUGUAUUCUUGGGAAUCUUUGCUGUGUGUUUUGCCUGUUCUGAGCAAGGGGGUCUAUUUCUUUGUGCAAUGAUGUGUAGUAAUUGUAUAAGAGAAUUAAAGAAACAAUAUUUUACCCUGGUAAUAUGGCGUUCAAAUCCAAUCGGAAAUUUCUGGUGCCUUUCUUGUUAAUUUCGUUACGAGGUAUAUUUAUUUUCGUUUUUGUAUACAUAUGUUAACAUGUUUCUCAGAUUGUAGCAGUUUUAAAAGUAAUAUAGAAGUUGAAAUUCAUGUAGUGGAAACUAGAGAUCGAUAAUGUGUAUGACAAAUUGGCGACGUGAACACUUUCUUUCAUUCAUCAAGACGCAUUCAAUUUCAUAUAACGAUAUUCUCAUUACAAAUCAUUUGGUAAGAUUGAGUGGGAAAUUCCCCCAUAAAAUUUUCUUCUUUUUUUUUUUCCAACAAUUUUGAUGGAAGCCAUAAUCUAAAUUUUAUAUAUAUAUAUAUAUAUAUAUAUAUAUAGAGUAGAGCUCCUGUGCUUUUAAAAGCACAGGAGCUCUUGUGCUUGGGACUUUUUCACCAUUGGAUCGGCUUCGCCUCGAGAUCCGCGCGUAGUUAUUGGGUGGAACUAGACGGCAAGGCAAAUAAGCGGCGUUACUCUCUCUCUUCUCUCUCUUCUCUCUCUACACGUGAACCCCCUCUCUCUUUUCCCUCUGGCAACCCACCUUCUCUCUCUUUUUCUUUCUCUGACAACCCCCCUCUUUCUCUCCCUCUCUCUCUCUGGUUCCCCCACCAGAUCUAUUCUUUUCUUUUUUUUCUCCCUCCAUCUCUCUUCCUCUUUCCCCUUCUCUACGGUGGUGGUCUCUAUCCCCUAUCCGACGCUCCGACGACGCCACGACAGUAAGUCGUGCGCACCUCCGCGCCGACGCCUUUCGGGCCGCGGCGCUACAGAUUUGAUCCCGGACNGUAACAAAAUAUUCACUUUGAAUUUUGAGUGACAUUCAAAAGUUUUAAUUUUUCUACAUGCCCUUACAUGAUUUUUCGGAUAACUACUAUUGUUAAUUCUUUUAAUUUGAUUUCAUUGUAUUUUGUUCUCCUGGAACUUUCGCUUUUAUUUUAAAGAAGUUAUAAAAUAAUCUCGUUAAAUAGCAGAAUAUUUUCUUACGUACAUUGUAUCUUUAAGAUUAUAAAGGGUCUCAUAAAAUGUCGAAAUAACAAUGAAAUCAAAUUAAAAGUAGGUUAGAUAGUAAGAUAGUAAUAACUAAUUAAUAGGAGUGUGAACGCAUCAUACAAUAUCACUUUAAAGGCAUAUAAUUAAGUGAAAAAGAGAAAAGCCCAGGUAUAGCUAGGCUACAACUUAAUUCAUUAAUUGAUGAGGGGAUUAUAUCUAAUCUAAGUAAUUAAACAAGCUCAUUAAUCAACAACAACAUCAUCAUGCGUUACAUCAUUUUUCGUUCUAAUUAUACUGGAAGAGACUAGGCCAGUCCCGGACGUGGAACUGCGGCGCCUGUGCCGCGGCGGCGGCAGCGUUGAGCCGCCACGAGUCGGCCCCAUCGUCGCCGUACAUCGCGAUCGACACCGCGCCCUUUGACGCCGCCGCUGCCGCCCCGUAGCAACCCCAUUGCUGCUGCAGCGGCGGCGGCGGUGGCGGCGGCACCGCCGACGAUGUCGCGGCGCGCCUCUCUUCCUUCUUGUAGCGGAUCCCACACGCGUUACACAGCGACUGCAAAGGAUCAAGUGUUUUAUGUUUUACAUUAGCGACUUUAAAGAAAGGGAAAGUACUGUAAACGAAGUAUUAUAGUUUGUGAAUUACUGCUGUGUAUAUAUACUCGGAGAAAUUAUCGUUUUAGUUAUAAUUAAUAUAAUUGGAUAGGCUGAUAGAUGAACUUUUUCAUUCUUGUCAUUGCUAACUAAUUACUUGCCAUGCAAACAUUCUGUAUACAAAAAGCAACUUCAAAACUCUCAUUUUUUACCGAAUAAGUUAUCAUUAAAUAAAUUAUUUUGACUCUCACACAGACGAGCACUUGUGACUUUUUCUGGAGGUGUAAAAUUGCCAAACCACAAUAAAAGAUCAUAUCCAGUGUAAGAAGAGCCCGAAAAACUCCGUUUGGCUCGGGUAUAAGCAAUAACUGUCUAUUGCAGAAAUAGGUACAAAGUUUAUCCUACAAGUACUAAUCUUAUCGCUCUCUUUUUCUUUUUUUUUUCUUUAACAUACGACUAAAGAUGGGUCUGUAAACUUUAGUAACUCUUGGAUGAGCGAUUGUAGAGAUUAUAAAAUAAUACAUUUGCGCACGCACCUUGGGCCCCCGUGGGCCGUUCCGCCACAGGGGAGUCGAGGUGGUGUCGCAGUUCGCGCACCUGCGCGGCGCGUCCCCACCGUUCCCUUUCGAAAACCCGCCGCUGCCACCGCCGCCGCCACAGCACUGUUGCUUAUUGGGCCGGCCCAUUACGUCCCAUUGUAAGCUCGACGGGGGCUGGGCCGGGCCGGGCCCACCAAAGCCCGGGCCCGCGCCAGCGUGGCGCGUCGAGGGCGUCCCCAGCGACAGGGUGCAGUCCACGUAGGACGACAAUCCCUCUCCCUCGCCACCACUACUAGAACCAGUACUAUUACUAGUAGUAGGAGGAGCGUAGGAGGGGAAGAGAUUGCUAAUGGAGAACGACGACGACGAGGAUGACGUGGCGCCUCCUCCACCUCCGCACGUGCCGCCGAGGAGCCCGCACGUGCUCCUCGGGCGCCCGCACUCGUGUAGCAUCGAUCCUACCAUGCACGGGCGUUUUAGAAGAGUGGUGGUUUGCUUUUGUUUUCGAAGGAGUAGGGUGAUAAUAUAUGUGUAUAUAUAAUGUGGGAGGGGGUGGGUGGUGUGGUGUGGUGUGGGGAAUGGAGAAGUCGAGGAGAUCGAUCGGGAUUUGUUUGUUUGUUUGUUUGUUUGUUUGUUUGCUUGCUUGUUUGUUUGUUUUUGCUUAGGCUUGGUACGUAGUAGAGAUCGAGAGGUGGGGAAUAUAUGUAUUAAACCAACUUUGGGAAAUGGAGAAAAAUAAUAAUAAUAAUAAUAACAAUUAAUGGGUGGAAGUAGUAAGAAGCCGCAGCAAUUAACAAAUGCGAAAAAUAGAAAGAUAUCCAAGAGACUUGUCACUCCUCACUGGUCGUAGUAAUAGUGGUAGUAGUAGUACUACUACUGCUACUACAGCAUUGUUGUGUUUGAGUGACAGGUGAUGAGUUAGGAGGAGCCAGGAGAGAGAAAUUAAGAAUGCUCCUUAGGGAUGGGUGAUGUAUAGAAGAGCUCCAACACCUCUUUCUCUCUCUAACCAAUACUCUCUCUCUCUCUCUCUCUCUCUCUCUCUAACACACACACACACACACACACACACUAUAUCUCGUAUGAGGAAGGGCACCAAGUUGUUGGGUGGAGCUAAGGGGUGUGGGGGAAAUGCACUGGUUCUUAUACAACAACGACGUGUGAUGAGGAGGGUGUACUACAUAAUAACACAAGACGAGGAGAGAGAGAGAGAGAGAGAUGGGAGAGAGAGAGAGAGGUGGCGCAGGAAACAAAGUGGGUCAGAGGUAGAGAGAAAGGGAGAACAGAGGAAGAAGAGAAGGGGUUGGUCAUGGUCAUGGUCAUAUGGGGCGGUCAAAAGAGGCCACGUGACAUGAGGAACGGUCUCCCAUAAUAAUCGAUCGAUCAUCUCUCACACACUUCUUAUUACUUCCCCGAUCACGAGGGGGCGCAGAGAGAGAGAGAGAGAGAGAGAGAGAGAGAGAGAGAGAGUGCAUGAUCAGUAAAGAGGAGAGAGAGAGAGGAGGGAGAGACACGAGGCGAAACCCGACACGCGAGCCCGAAUCCGAACAAAGCCUACCCGGUCCGUAACGUCACAAAAUAGGAGGACGGUACGUACGUGGCAAGCUCGAUUUAUAAGAGAACCCAUCGUACGUACGUGGCCUCAUUAGCUUGAAAUUGCCAUGUCACAAAGAAAAAACAACAAAAAAAAAAGAAAAAAUCUCUCUUUCGUACGACAUUUUUUGUUUUCAUCUAACGAUUAUAACGUAACAUAUUGUACUAACUCCAUAAUAUUAUAUGAAUUGAUUAGACGAUAGUCCAAUUACAGAUAUAAAUUAUCAAUUAUAUUAUUUUAUUAUUAUUUUAUUUAUUUUUAAUUGUGCCGUUUUCGAUAACUUGAGUUUUGAUUGUAUUUUUAUUACGACGAAAUAAAUAAUAAAAUUAACCGUUUACAGCCCGACUUCAUUUAGCUCCAUUUUCAGAGUUCCACCUAAGCAAGCGGACCCCUAUUAGUGCAUGUUAAGCCUCACACGUGCCAAACACAGUUUGAUCACGUGAUUACCUUAGUUGGAGUAGUAACUGGUAAGAAAAAGAAAAGGAAAAGAAAAAAAAAAAAAGGCAAAAACAAAGAAAAAAAGAAAAAGUAGAAUAUCUAGGAAUUAUUUGCAUGGGUUGUCCUGUGUACGCCAUGAUUAUUAACAACGCUUCCAAAAGGCCGAGCCAAAUCAUCGGUUCAAAGCCCCAUGUCUCAGAUAAGUAGAUCGCGUCUUUUUACACAAUCAAAAUAUAAAGAGAGAGAGAGAGAGAGAGAGAGAGAGAGAGAGAGAGAGAGAGAGAGGGAGGGGGGGGGCGGAACUUUUGCAUGAGCGCGGUGCGUAAGUACAUCUAUCUGUGUCUCAUGCACCAUAUAUAUACUUUUAAAAUAGAAUUUUAACUAUUAAAUGUGUUUCACAAUAUAAUUUAUAGAUAUUAUUUCCAUGAACACUACAUUUGUGGCUCCCUACUUUUCAUGAAGUUAUCUAUUCUAAGACUACUCUAGUCAUAACACAUUUAAUCCUUUUAAUCUCUUGUGCCUAGCCACCGUCUAAUAUAUAAUAGCUAAAUUAAAAGUUUUAGUCUUAUUAUACUUUAUAUAUAGAACUAUAUGAGGUCUCCUAAUUUUUUACAUCCGUCCUUGAAAUGUUCUUUAUCGAAUCAGAGUGUGUGUGGAGUUGAAUUAAUUGAAUAGAAGGAAAUUAUAUAUAUAUAUAUAUAUAGGAUGCUAUCGAUAGCAUGAAGGAUUUGGUGCUAUCAAAUUUUCUACCGUUUGAUUUACCUCUUUUAUCAUUUUCAUCUGUUUGGUUAUAUUGUUCAACCAACCACCCACUCAAUCCUAGGGAGUUCAAAUCAUCCUAACCGUACAUCUUUUAAUCCAAAUACAGAAAACUUAAUAGCACCAAGUCAUUGAUGCUAUUAAGGGCCCGUUUCGUUCGAGUUAUGUAAUAUUACAAAGUAUCUCGACAUAUCUAGGUAUCGUGAAUUUCGGCGUGAGAUUACUACUGAUACUGCAUUAGUGUGUUUAGUUUAAUACAGUAAUAUAAUACUAGAUUACAGUGUUUAUAGCAUUAAUAUGUUUGGUUCAGUUUAUAAAAUUUAUACCCAAAUUCAAAUCUAUUAAAUUUUUAUUUUUAAUAUCUAUAUUCGAAAUUAUUAUAUAUAUUUAGUAUUGAAUAAAUAUGUUCCGUUCGAAUUUGAGUUCAAAUAAAAUUUCGCGUCAAUCGGCAUCCCUAGUGUAGGCAACAAUUUCUAGAGAGAGAGAGAAGCCAACAUAGUUGAUUUGUCUCUCCGUACAUACUACAUGCAUGCUCCAAUCCAUCCCUAUCAAAACAGUGAAAAGUAAGAGAGAGAAAGAGAGAGAGAGAGAGAGGGGAUGCAUGAUCUUUUGCUGUAUAAUAAUUUAGCUGGGAAGGUGUGAGUGAGUGUUUGUUUCCCAAGUCAAAGGAGGGUCUCAAAUGGUAGAUAAAAGAGAAAGCGAAAGCCCCGGGUGGAGCCCAUCAUUCCAUCUGCAGCAGGCCAUCAUCAGCCAAAAAACGUACGACUCCGCUCGCCGACACGAUCCGACGCGGCCCGAACACCAAACAACAAACUUGUUAAUUCAGGUCGCAUCCAAUGACUUCCCUCCACGUGGCACAUGAGUAUUGUAGCAUCCAUCUUUCUACGUAACCCUAGUGAAGUUACCGCGCACUGCGGCGUGCUAAUACUAUAAAGGGAAGUAGAUUACUAAGAUAAAAAUUUUAUAAUUUUUUGACUUAACAUGAGAUAUCAAUAAAUACAAAUAGUACAAAAAAUAUAUAUAUAUAAAAAGGUCUUAUUUUGCUUUUUUUUUUAUGAAAGUAAUUUAUUUAUAUAGAUGAUAAUAGACCAUGUGAACACAUUAACUAAAAAUAGGCGGAUGGAAAGACGAAAUAUCGGACAGAGAUGGAGAGUCGAAGUAUCAUCAGGGAGUGAGAAAGAAGGAAAAAGUAAGGACAAAGGAGGUACUGUUAUGUGGCAAAUUUUUUAAAAAAAUAAUAUAUAGGUAUAGAUAAAUGAUAUCAACACAAUGUAAGUCCUAAGCUAUCUAUGUUCCAUCGUCUCGUUUGAUCUAUUAGUAGAUCUAAUAUUAUGCAUGCAAAUGGAUCCAGGUUGAUGCAGAGCCUUCGUCCCAAUUCGUUCUAGAUUGAAUAGUAAGUGGGGGUCAAAAAUAAGGAAAAAUAAAAAAACUUUUUCCGAAAUCGACUUAUAUUCAGAAAAUAAAGUGAGGGUUAAUUUUCUGUCUUUCAACCACCCUUAUCUUUAUAAAAGCUACUUCAGUAACAAUUCAUUUGCCAGGAAUGUGAACAAGUAUUGCAUGAAUCAAUCACCAUACCGUAAAUCUCUACGCGCCAGUAGUUAAUUUACGAGAAUCAGUAUUUUGAUUAAAUUUCAUACGGUAAUAUAUACUUGCAGCAGUGCACAGUAUAUAGGUGAUUAGAUUUCGUGCUUGGUGCUGCAGGCGGAGCAGCGGAUUCGUUCGAGAAGAUCGUCGUUCAAAAAGUUGCCUCCCGACAAAACCAGAGGCAUAGGCCUUGAGAUUGCCGUCCAGCCGGCUGGAAUUCAUGAAACUUGGCAUUUAUAUAUAUAUAUAUAUAUAUAUAUAUAUAUAUAUAGAUUAAUUUCAUAUAGAUUUCUAUAAAUAUAGCAAAUAACAAAAAUAGAUUCAUAUAAAAUUUAACUUUCAUAUAUUGUUCUUGUAAUAAUCUUGAUAUUUUCAAAUAUGUCAUAAUGAUUUUUACCGUUAGAGAAUUAUUAGAGAAUCAUUUAUGCUUUUAAUUUUGCCAUCACAAAUAUAUUUCUCAAAAAAUAAUAACAGGAUAAUAUAAAAGGAUAAAAAUGUCAAAAAUUAACCAAAGUUAAGUAUUUAACUUAUGGUUAACUAAAAUUUUCUAACGGAUUCUAACAACAUAAAUAUAUUUGAAAACAUAAGGACUUUUUGUAGGGACAACAUGUGAAAGUUGAACUUUAUAGAAAUAUAUUUAUUAUUCACUAUGUAAGUUGAAUUUUGUAGGAAUAUAUUUGUUAUUCACUAUAUUUGUAGGAAUAUGUAUAAAAUUAAUCCUAUAUAUAGAGGGGAAAACUUCAAAUACCACUUCGGUGGUUUUGCACUUUUUUAUUUUAGUAUCUUGUGAUUUAAAAUGUAUCAAUUUAGUACCCCAUUAUUUUACUUUUCUUUUUUUAUUAUCUCUUUCACUAAAUUUUUUUAUUAAAUCAAUGACAAAAUUAAAACUAAAAAGUAUUAGAUUGAAUAUUCAAUAAAUCUAUGGGGGUAUCUAAAAUUUUUUAUAUAUAAUUUAAUAAAAUAUUAACGGAGGGACCGGCAGAAAGAAAAUAUAUUGAAAUCAUAGAAUACUAAAUUGAUACAUUUUAAACCAAAUAAUACUAAAGUGAAAAGUGUGAAAUUAUAAGAGUGGUAUUUAAAAUUUUCCCUAUAUAGAGAGAGAGAAUGGCAUCUUUUGGAAAUCGCCAAAUCCAAUUACACCUCUCUCUCUCUCUCUCUCUAGAUCUAUGUGCUCUGCUAAUAAAGGCCGAUCCAGCUAGCGAAGAACUGCGGGUAAAUUAACACCAAACCCCAAAAGGAAAAACAAAAAAAAAAAACAUAAAAUAAAACAGAUUCAAAAAUUAUUCCCCCUUCUCUUUUUUAUUUACCUGUCUCUCUUGAAACCCGAGAUCGCUCUCUCUCUCUCUCUCUCUCUCUCUCUCUCUUUUAUUGACCGGGAUACGAGUGAAUCUAUGCGCCGUCCUCGGUCUCCGCGCCGGGAACCGCGACGGCCAAUCAUGGGGCGCCACGUAAGCGGGGCUGCGUUUGGCGGGCUUUUUCGGCUUACGUGGAGGGUUGUUGUUUGCGAAAGCGUACGGAGAAGAGUCGUCGUGACCCAUGCAUGCGUUUCUUUAAAAGAUGCGUCCACACCACACCACACCACACCACACAACCCUGGUGGCCACGUCCAUCAUGAUUCAUAUAACUUCGAACAUGUUACUGUUACUACUGUUACUGUCGUGUAAUGCGAGCCAUUUAAAUAUCAAAAUAAAAUAAUUUAAUAAUAAUUCGUUCUGUAUAAAGAUGUUACGAGCUUUUUUGUCUUGUUUUGUUUUUUUUUUUUUGCUCCUUAAAAUAUAUUGGCAUUCGUAAUUUGGUACAACAUGUUGCUCAGUGUUGGAGGCUAAACGUAUUUUUUAUUUUAAAAAUUUGAUCACGCUCUUAAUUUUUUUGAGUAAAUAAAAAAGGUCAAAUAGGACUAGUGCGAUUAGGAAUAAUAUUCGUAUAUUGGAUGCAAAUGUAAUAUAUUAACCUAUAGGGUAUUUUAAUCUAAUAAUUUAAGUUUUUGGAUUGGACCUGAGCCAUUUAAUAUUGUGUAAGUGCUAAGCGUCGAAUCACAGUGGGUUGGGACGGAGAGCUUAAGCUUUUUGGUUGGGCCUCGACAAGCUUUUACAUGUUAAGAGAUAGUGUUUGGAUAGGGUACAAGAGGAGAGAUAUAUAAGGUCUUAUUCCCCUCUUGUAUCAAAACAAUAUUUUGGGUGGGUGACCGACUGUUCCUAAAGCAAGUGGCAAAGGGCUUGGUGGUUGGUACUUGAGACCCAAGUUCGAAUCCUAGUUGAUUCACAUUUCUAGUUAAAUUUAUUUCUAAAUGAAAUAAACGAAACGGGUAGCGUGCUACCUAUCUCUCAAAAAAAAAAAAAAAAAAUUGGGUGGGUGGGAAACUAUAAGUUCUCAUCCAUAGAGGGUUAUUCUGGAAGAUAAAAGAAAAAAGGAGAUGGAAGGAUGUGGCUGCGAGGGAGAGAAAGGAUUUUACUAAGAUAAAAAAGAGUAGGAAAAAAAUUAGAACAAUAGUGGAUCCCACUACCCUCAAAAAAAGGUGGUACAUUCAUAUUGGAUUUGGUCAUGAUAAAUCAUGUAUAGGUAUAGAUAGAUAUAAUAAUAAAAUUUGUAAAAAUAAAUGACUCAUCAAAAUUAAAUAAAGUAAAAGAUUAGAUAGUAUAAUUUUAAAAGAUAAAUAGUUAGAUCAAAUUAAAUUACAAUCUGUAUUUGGAAAUAAAUUCAGCUAAAAUUAUGAAAUAAUUAGGCUUCAAAUUUGGAACCUCGGAUACUAACUAUAAGCCCUUAUGAAACAGAUAAAGAGCUAUUUAGUUGCAAAUAGUUGUAACUGUACUGCAAUUAUAAUUACAUGCAGAGUCAAAUUCGAUGUUUUGCUUAACGCAAUUAAAUCCAACUACUACAGUUGGAACUGCAUUAGGAGACUCAAUUGCAACAAUUAUAACUGCAUCCAAAUUAGUUGUAGUUUCAAUUGCAGCAAUUAAAAAGAAUAAUUUUAAAUAAAAAAUAACCUUAUCUCUCUAAGUACUUGUUAAACAAAAUUUAUUUUUUCAUAUUGAAAAUAAUCUCGCCAUCCAUGCAUAUGCAAAAUGAUAAAAUUGCGUAAAUACAUUUCUCAAAUAUAUGCAUUAAUUUAGUCAAAUUAUUUAUUAUUGCAUCGUUUUUUACUAUCUUCAAUCAAACUAUAUAUAUAAAUACAGUUAAAACUGAAUAUAUUUUUAGAUACAGUGCAUUUAUAUUAAGGAUUAAUUUUAUAUGGGUCCCUGCACAGAUAUGAAAUAGCAAAUAUGGUUCUAUAAAACUUAAAAAAUCAAAUUUAUCCUUUCACAAUUUCUCUAAUUUUCAAAUAUAUCUCUCCAAAAGUUCCAGUUCAUUCAUAUAUGUCUCCACCUUUUGGUUCAUCGCUAGUUUUUUAAUGACAAGAUCAUAAAAUGACUAUUUAUCCUUACAAAAUUGUUCAUGCAAAAAUUAUUUUUUCUCUCUCUCCUUGCUUUCACCGUGGCAUGUGUAGUGUACCUCAUUUUCGCCGCGACCAACGGUCUCGUCUUCAAUGUUGCUGCUGUCAUAAGUCUUGCCGUCACCAUGAAUAAAAAGGACAUGGUGAGAAAGAUGAUGGGACUCUAACAUUGAAAUAUAAAUUAUAUAUAAGGGGGACAAAAAUUAUUUUAACUCUUAACUAACCAUGGUUAGUAUUUUAACUCAUGGUUAUCUAAAUUUUGGCAACAGAACGAUAUAUUUGCAGACGAAAGGACUUUUGGAGGAAUAAAUCCGAUAACUUAAGUUUCGUAGGAAUAUAUUUAUUAUUCGAUAUUUUUGCGAGGAGCUAUAUGUAAUUAUCCUUUAUAUUUACGAGCAGCUAAACAGAUCCUAAUAAGUGUAGUAGAUAAAAUAAAAAAAUUAUAGUUUAUGGAUCAGAUAAUUUGUACUGGACACAUAUAUGAUAAUGGCGUGAUGUGAAAUGAGUGUGAAGUGGGCCCCACGGGCUUCGGCCCACAUACCAAUCUAUUUUCGCACGUAUCGACGCCGCCAGCAGCAACGGCUGCUUUCUUUUAGAAAAGAAAAAACGGGCAGAUCAAAUCUGAUCUGAAGCAGAGCCGAAACCGAGAUUGACCCGCGCCUCGGGCCGUGGGGAAAGUACUACUGUUAAUAGUAAAAAAAAGAAGUGCACGGAGAAUGGGUUUGGCGCAUCUGGGCUUGGUUUAAGCUUUUUUUUUUUUUGGUAAAAAUAUAUAAAAAUUUACUUAAAAUAUGAACUAUUUUGAUUUGGCUAUACAAUUUUAAAAAGUAAAAUUAAAAUUUUACUUUUCAAAUUUUAAAUCUGUUUGAUUUGGGUCAGUCAACGGUAUUUUUUGAUUCAAAAUUUGUUGAGUAUAUUUCAUGCAAUUUAUUAAAGUAAGUAAUUAGCUUCAUUUUGAAGUUAAAAUAUUGUUGACCGACUUAAAUCAAAUAAAUUGAAAUGUUGGAUAAUAAAAUCAAAAUUUUGAAACAUUGAGUAGUUGAUUCAAAAUGACUCAUAUAGUUAAGUUUUGUAAGUUUUUGCUUUAAAAUUAUCUGUUUUAUGUUUCGAAAGGUCUAAAAAGUUUGAAAGUUCUCUCAAUCUUUCAAUCUUAAUAUUGUAAAAUUUUGUGGGAACUGCCGUCGGAGAAUCAAUAUUAUAUAUACCUCUUGUGCAGUUUGUGUCACAAUUUUAUAGCGGAGAAGAAAAAACAAAAGUGUUUCUGAAUUUUUGUAACCUUAACUUCAAAUAAGCCCUUAGAAUAGAUAAAUGUGGACUUUGUACUCUUUCUAGGGUUUAUGGACUGGACUUAUGUGAACAAGGCCUUUUGUAUUGUACUGUAAUAAGGGGCUUAGUUUUUAUAUAUUUAUUGGAUCUUUCAAGGGCCGAGGAUGUAGUGCAUAUUUAUCCCUUCUAUUGUUGUACCUGGGCGGUGUGUGGGAGUCUCUACGCACAGAGGCCAUCGCGCCGCUCAUUAGCAGCAGUAUGAAUUCACAAUGUGAACUGUAUGAGAUUUCGCUACUGAUUAAUGAGUGGCAAUAUCAAACCCCUACGAACGGAUUCCUACGAGAAAAACCUAAAAUGUAGCCCUUUAUUGCCAAUAACUGGGAUCUGAUAGGUGGCUUGUUUCUAUCUUCUGAAUAUUUGUAAUGGUUGUGUUUGUAUCAUCAAGCUCUUGAUUGAACAUGGCCCAGAGCCCCAUGGGCUUGUUCUCGAAUGAAAUUCAUGUAAGAGAACAAGAAGAUUUAAAAGCUAGCUGUAGAAUGCCCACCACUACUAGAGAAGGAUUCUAAGAUAGGGAGUGUUUGGUUGAACAUAAAAAGGUUUUUCGUUAAAAUAAAAGUUUCGGUGGAAUUUUUUUUUUUUUUUUUAUGUUUUGUAGUAUUUGAUUUGUAGAAAAAAAUAAUAUAUAUUUUUUUAUCAACAUUUGUUUGGUGGAAAGAAAAACAAAUCUACAAUUGUUUGGUUCAGCAAAAAAAAUAAUGAAAAUUUUUUUAUGCGGCUUGAGUUUUCGUUUUUCGUCGAUUUUUGGCGAAAAAUGAAAAAAAUCCAUUUUUAUCAAAUCUAUAAAAAUAGUUUUUUGAAAAAAAAAAUUUACGGCUAAACAAACACACGAAAAAAAAUUUUCAAGCCAAAAGUAAUUUUUAGUAUAUUUUACGACCAACCAAACACGCUAUUGCUAGAAUACUACUAGAAGUAAAUUAAAUAUGAAAGGUGUUUACUUUGGCAUUGUUUCCGGCGAAGGGGCAUCCUAAUUGAAUUGGCACUAUUAAAUAUUAAAUAUGAUCUAUACUACUUGGCAUAAUAAGACUUCAAUUUUCUAAUUUUCUGACAUCCUUUGUCUCGCGAACAAGUGGUUUCAAAUUCAACAUAUAUUAGCCAUUAAAAGAAAUCAAUUUUGAGACCACUUAAAUAAUAAUAUUAAUUGGCGAGUUCCUGAUGCAGUGUCAGCAAUUCUAAUAUUAGUCUUCUAAAUAAGGUAAAUAAAAAGUUGAAAAUUUUUCAGAAACAUAUAAGCAAUUGCCCUUCUAGAUAAUAGUGUCAGCAGUGUCAGCAAAGCAGUGUCAGCAAUUCCUCAAAAUAAAUAUAGAAGAGUAGUCAAACCAGAAAAUGUAGCAAUUCCUCAAAAUAAAUGAAGCAAAGCAUUUUAUUGGAUCAUAUGGGCAAAUGAUUCACAGUAGUGCUAUACUGUACACAUGCAUGAAUAUGCUAAGAUGUUGUUAGGUGAAGCAUAGACUAUGGAUCUAACCAGUGUGUUCUAAAUUCUACCUACAAUAGGACUUCCAACAUUGCAAAAUUAAUUAGAUAGAAGAAAUGAGCUCUUCAUAAUAAUAAUGUUACAGUGUUUUCUGCUACUGACCAAUUACACUAGACUAAUCCUAUUUCUUGCUUGACUAGAAAGCCACUUUCUUCUGCAUCAUACAGAAGCUCAGUUUUUGUGCUCAAUAACAGUUGUAUCAAAAAAUGAAGGAUUUGAUUAGUAGAUAAAGUAAUGCCUCUUACAUGCACAAAACAGGGAGAGCGAGAAAUAUUUGAGCAAGAAAAUAAUCUACAUUAGUCAUGCCAGGUCAGAACAUAAAUCAAUUGAUAUAUCGUGUGAUCGAACUACAAAAAUUUGGCUAUACACAGAUCUAUAUGCAAACGAAUGCAUGCAAAUUGGUCGUGGCACGGUUCAGCCAUAUUUGGUAGCCUAUAAAUCAAUGUAAGAAAUGCAGAUAUGACAUCCUUAUCUAAUAAAGAUGACAUGCAAUUACUGUUCUGUUCAUUUAUAUGAAUAGCUAUCAACAAGUAAUAUCAAGAAACAUUAAAUUACAUUAACCUCAACUCAUUUCAUAUUUGUUCUCUUUCAGAAUAGCAGAUGAGACAAUUUGAUCCGUUUUGAAUCCCAAUCGAGAAAAUGAAUACCCAAUAAAGAAGAAGAAAACAGCAACAAUGGAAAUGUGCUGUACACAGGUUUCCAUUGCUUUUUUGCAAUUUUAUAAUAACCACUAUGAUUUAACUAAUGGUCAUCUUCUAUAUGACAUUAAAUGCAGUCAAUGGAGUGUAUCUUCAUUCAAAGGAUUAUUACACAUUAGCUCAAAAACUUCAAUAGCAUGAGAACAUUCCGACAAAAAUAUCUAUAUAUCUAUAGAAGAGUAAAUGAGGUUAAAUCCAACUGAUUUUUGUCUCUAUUCAUCAAAAUAAAUUUAGUUCAUCAGGCAUAAAUAGGUCAAUCAGAAAUUUCUGGGGUCACUUGAUAAGUAAAUAAGGUUAUUCAAGUCUGAAUUAACCUCAUUUUAGAUCGAACUGAUAUUUCUUGGAAUAAUUAAAUAGGCUAGCCAGACAUCUUUUUCUAUGAAGCCUUCAAUAUGACAACCACCCCAUAACUUAUGAAGUUUAAGGUUAAGGGAACAUUCUUGAUUCUUAAGAUCUCACACCAAAAUGUAUUCUUAUAUUUACAAUCUAAUCUAUCCUCAAAAAUAAUUUCCAAGCAAGAAAAUUAGGAUAUGACCAAUAUUUGAAGCAGAAUUCUAGCCAAACUGUAAUUCAGAUAUCUCCUACACUUCAAGCUCUUGUUCUUCCCGUACUCUAGGUAGCGAACAACUUUGAAAACAAAUGUCUACUGAAUUUACAUCUUAUAAGACUAACAUACAUCACAUCUUUCCAGAAUCAAGCCUUUUGAAAAUAAAGAAUUAGACAAAAUUCUAAGCAUUGUACUAAAUUUUACGCAACCAGACAUAAAAGAAUAGGUAUGACCGUAUGAAAUAAGAUGAUGUCCUUUCCAUUUACUUUUCUACAUGCAACAUGACUGAUAGCUAGCGGAUCACCAACCUGGAAGAACAUUUAAGUCAUGGUGGCAAUUGCUCACCAUUUCUGCCAUCUGGAAUGUUCAGGAUUUCAGUCUUGUUGCAUUUCUUCAGAAAUCUCCAAAAUCUAGCUCAUUCAGAUAUUUGAUGGUUCCCUCCAUCCGCCAUGGAAUAUUCAAAUCAUAUUCUGAACAUUAAAGCUCUUCUUGGGUCUUUUAUGGAAAUCAAGCUCCUUUUUGGAAAUAGAAUAGCUAAUCAAGCAGCUGAUUGUCUAGCCUAUUAUAGUAGAACUGGAUAAUCUGUCUUUGAGAGGACCACUUAUUAGGCUCACCUGAUCUUAUCCGUGUAUUGGAGAGAGAGCUUAGCGUUUUUCAGAUACAGGCUGCUUUCUUUGUAAUCUGUUUCUCAAUAAAGCAAUCUUGCUUCAUCAAGGAAAAAUGCCUGAAAUCACAUACCAAAAGCACAAACUUCAACUUCCUAUUUCAUAUGCUCUACUGACCUUGGAUUUAUAUAUGCAAUUUUUGCAUAUAUUGGUUUCAAUCGCUCACUAAUGGUUGCAGUGCUUAGAUUUUUGGCUCACAGGGCAUCAAUUUAUUCCGUCACACAAUGAAACUGCUCAAAAAAACAUCACAUGGGAGCCAUUUCCAAGUAUUUCACUUUUGGUUGGCACUAUAUUUUCAUUUGUAUGAUUCCCUGAAGUACUUCUGAAAUAUGAUAGUUAACAUCUAUGUAAAAUUUGCGGAAAGAAAACGUCAGUUAUAAGUGAAUCGACAUUCACAAACACGGAAUUCACUGUGAUGAUAUGAAAUUCGCUAUUGGACAUCAAAAGCAACUGUGGCUGUUUUUCCUGCACCAGGCUAAGCAGUAAACUAUAAAUUACAGAGAAAUUGCUAAUUAUGAUCUCCACACACCUGCAUCAAGUGGUACUACUAGUUCAGCAUAUAUCAACAUAAAAACUGCGAAGAUCAAAGCUUUUUAUGCAAGCUGAAACUAAUGACUAGUUAAUCGUCUAAUAUGGUCUGCAAGUUCCCCUCCCUUCUUCACUUGACCAGAUUUUCCACUAAUCUUUCUUCUUUUCAUUCUUUGUGCGCACAUGUGCAUGUGAAAGACUAUUCCACUCCUCAUAUCCUAGGUAGGUCAGAGAAAGAGUUUUACAUCUGCUUAAGUCAAGUUCGUAACAGGAAAUUGCUACAAUCUUCCCCAACAAAGAAAUUAAUCUACACCAUGGUUAUGUAGGCUGCAUUCUUUUGUCUGUUUUAAGGCUUCAUCUAUAUUUCUGAAAGCACAGAACUACAACAUGAGUACGUACUUAAAUAACAUGAUUGAAAUACCUUUCCACCUACUGUAGCUUCGUACGUAGCGACUGAUUGCAAGUAAACAGAGAAUUCUCUAGCAUGAAGUGGAAGCAGCAAGUGAUUGGUUGAUUAGGUGCUGAAGAUAAAGAAUGCGAAAAGGCAAUCAAAGUAGAAAGAAGAUGGUAUUGUGUGCAGGAAGGAAACCUUUCCUCUAAGGCUCACGGUGAAUAAAAAGGAGAAGCUAUAAUCAUACAAACCAUGAAAGCCCAAAGCUAUCGCCAUCUAAAAGCGCAUGUAAGUGGGUGAUAUUUGCUGCGAAAACAAUCCACGAAACAGAUAGAUAGAUACCUGCACUCCAUAGAUCAGAUAAUCCUGAAAGAAUUCUUAUUCAGUUAAGAUUACACCUGGUAAUCAAACCACAAAAGAUGGUUAAAGAAUUCAGCAAAUUACAGCAGACGGGUAUGGGGUAAGCUAAUAGUAUCGACAAGAACUGAGAUAAGAAACUCAAACACGGCCUACUCGACGAUUCAUAAGCGACUCUAUUCCUGAAACUUUUCACGCUAUAAAGUACAAGAAUAACAAGGUGACACCAACAACAGACAGCUGAUUUUAAAAUGCAAGCAAACAGAUUCAGAUAAAGGGAGGAGUGCAGGAACUCGAACACCCCAAUUGAUUGAUGAUGGCCUUAAGGAAAGAGCCUACUACUAACCGGAUCUCCACAGUUGACGAUAAAUUGGACCUAAAUUCCUCCUCAUCCUCUUUUUUGUUUGCUUGGGGGGAGGAGGUUUCUGGUUUUUGGUUUUUGGUUUUUUGGUUUUUUGGUUUUUGGGCGGCGCCAGGGGGGAUCCGAUCUUACUGAGACGGAAUUCCAUCAACUAUCGGAACAGGGUAUCUGUGGAUGCAGUCGUCCCAGGGGUUGUUGGGGGAGGGCUUGACGUUGCGGAGGGCCUGCCAGACGGCGCUGUUGCACUUGAAUCCGCUGCCGAAGGCGAUCUGCCAGAUCUUGUGGCCCUUGCGGAUGCGGCCCUUGGCCUCGAUGUAGGCGAGCUCGUACCAGAUGGAGCUGGAGGAGGUGUUGCCGAAGCGGUGGAGGGUCAUGCGGGAGGCCUCGACGUGGAGGGGCCGGAGCUGGAGGUUCUUCUCGAGCUCGUCGAUGACGGCGCGGCCGCCGGCGUGGAUGCAGAAGUGGUCGAAGGCGAGCUUGAAGUCGGGGAUGUAGGGCUUGAUCUUGGCGUUGAAGAGCUUCUUGGCGACGAGGGUGGCGAAGAAGAGGAGCUGCUCGCUGACGGGGAGGACGAGGGGCCCGAGGGUGGUGAUGUUGGCCUUGAGGGCGCCGCCGGCGAUGGCCAUGAGGUCCUUGGAGAGGGAGACGCCCACCUUGCCCUGCUCGUCCUGCUCCUGGUACACGCACCGGAAGGCCGUGUCGUCGGCGCCGCGGUGGGUGCGCACCACGUGCACCAGCCGGAACUUGGCGCGCCGGCGCUCGGCGGCGCGGUUGGAGAGCAGCACGGCGGCACCCCCCAUGCGGAAGAGGCAGUUGGGGAUGAGCAUGGACUUGCGGUUGCCGAAGUACCAGUUGAGCGUGAUGUUCUCCGAGCUGACGACGACGGCGUAGGUGGCGCCGUGCACCUGCAGCAGGUCGCGCGCGAGGUCGACGGCGAUGACCCCCGCGCUGCAACCCAUCCCGCCCAGGUUGUAGCUCCGGAUGUUCCCCCGCAGCCGGUACCGGUUCACGAUCAUGGCCGAGAGCGACGGCGUCGGGUUGAAGAGGCUGCAGUUCACCACCAGCACCCCCACGUCCUUGGGCUUGAUCCCCGUCGCGCGGAACAGGCUGUCCAGCGCGCCGAACAUCACCUGCUCCGCCUCCGCGCGCGCGUUCGCCAUCGACGGCCGCGGCGGCACGCAGUGCAUCGCCGCGGGCACGUACGUCUCCUCGCCCAGCCCGCUGCGCUCCAGGAUCUUGCCCUGGAACUCCAGCGCCGCAUCGCUGAAGCCGCAGAGCGCCGAGUGCUCCAUGAACGCCCGGUACGGCGCCUGCAGCUCCCUGGGGGGAACGUAGCAGGCGUAGUCCACCAGGUACACCGGCCGCGGCCGCGUCAUCAUGUACAGCGUCGACCCGAACACCAGCAGCGCGAUCAGCGCCAGCACGCUCACCAGGUUGUACUGCAGGUGCACCCACAGCUGCCGCAGCUCGUCCGGGUCCGUCCGCCCGGCCUCGAUCACGAUCACCACCAUCAGCGGGAUCAGCGUCAGCGUCAGCAGGUGCGUUAUCAGGUAGUGGUACCCCAGCUUCACGUACUUCAAAUUCACGCUCUGCAAGAAGUCCGGAAGCCGCCGGCUCGCCGACAUCUCCCGCCGCGCAGACUGCCCUCCUCCUCCGCCUCCUCCUCCGUCUCCGUCUCUGUCCCCGCCCCCGCUGCUCAUCUUCCUUCCUUCCUUCCUUCCUUCCUCCUCCCUUAUUAUUAUUAUUAUGAUUAUAAACCUGAAGCAAACCAAACCAAACCAAAAAAAUUCAAAACCCCGAGCGGGUUAGGAAAAUUGUCGCUAAAUAAAUAAAUAGUCCCCUCCCCUCUUCUUUCGCUGUCGAGAGACGAGUCAACCGGGCGACUCUUGAAGCUUCGGAGUUGCUUCCCUACACGUCUCUCUACACGAACCACUAAAACAAUUUAUUUAUUUAUUUGAAGAAGAAGGGGGCAAGUGUUUCGAAUCAAGUUAAAUAAAAAUACUGGAGGAGUUAGAAAUCGCAGGGAUGAGGUAAAUUAAUUGUUGUGGGGGUGGUGUAGCCGCCGCGGUGCCAGUAAGCAAUCAGAAGCUGCUGGGUUGUUGCUAUCAGGCGAAGGGUUUUGGGGGCGGCGCGCACGGAGGGGAAGAGGGGAAGAGGGGAAGGGAAAGAGGGAGGAAGAGAAAGGGAGAAAAGACAGAGAGAGAGAGGCCAGGAGGGAAUCAAAAGGGGCCGAACAUACGCGAAUGCGAACAGGCUGUCGUCCCUCGUGGUGAGUAGGAAAAUCCUACGCCGUUUCCGAGAGAAACCCAAAACGCAGCCCAGAUGGGUUAGCCUUCUGUUGAGCGAGCUCCCGUUGGGUUACCUCCAAGUCUACCCGAGAUAUUUGAAGUUGUUUGUUCUGACUUGUGAGGGUUCCACUAAUGAUUAAAAAAAAAAAAGAAGAUUGUUUAUGUAAAAAAGUCAUGUAUGCUUUUCUUGCUACAGUUUUUGGUCUAAUGAUAUCAGAUUAAUUAAUAUAGUAAAUCAUGCGAUGCGACGGAUAGAUAAUUAAAAAAUAAAAUAAAAAACGGUGAUAAAGAAAGAAGAAAUAACGGUGGAAGAAGCGAAAAUAACGGGGGAGAUUCAUCAAGGUAAUAGCCGAAUGAAGUGGAAGAGGAACACUCAGCCAAUGCAGAGGUAUGACCCGGAUCGGUUCAAGAAAAAAAAAAGAGAAAAAUUCAAUUUUGUUCAAACAAAGAAAGAAAAAAAAAAAUGUAAAGGUUUUAAGCCAGUUCAGAAAAGCCUACACUUAAUAAUGAUUAGUUUGGUUCAAACAAAAAAAAAGAGAAAAAUUCGGCUCAGUUCAAGUAAAAAAAAAAAAAAGAAGGAGAACUUGAGCUGGUUUGAGAUGGAUGAAUAUAUCUCAAAUCAUCUUAGAGCUUGUUUAGAUGUAUAAAUAUCUUAUUAGGUAUAUUUUCUUAAUUUACUUAAAAAAUUUAUACAUUUGAUUGAUAAGAAGUAUGGUCAAAUAAUUAAAAUAAAAUAUUAUAUUCAGACUUCAAAUCAGUUUUUAAUUAAAUAAAUUCUCUAAUAUAUAAAUUAUACUAUCUUAUCAAAUUAUAGAUGACAAACUUCUUUUAAAAUAAUUAGAAAUUAAACUCCUUGCUUACAAUCCAAUAGAGCCUCAAGCUACCUAUGAAAUCCAAUUUCCAAUAGUCCUAGAAUAUUUUCCUUUUUUUUUCCCUGAAAAGUGUGAUACUUAGGUUACCCGUUUGGUCCGUGGAUAUCGGAUAUUGAUAUAAACUUUUUUAUUCUUGAAAUAGCUUUAUUUUUGGAUAGUUAAAAAUAAAAACAAAAUUGUAUUUGAUUUGUAAUUUUACUAUUCUCGAGAAUAAUUGAAAUUGUAUUUUGUUAAUUUUAUGGAAUAAUAUAGAAAAGUAAAAAAAAAGUGAUAAUUGAAUUUAAUAUAAAAUAUAAUUUAAUAAAAAUAAUUUGUUAUAAAAAUAUUUUAUUGUAAAAAUAAUUUAUUAUAAUAUUAAUAAAAAUAAUUUAUUAUAAAUUAUGAUUUAAUAAAAAAAUUUUAUAAAAUAUUUUUUUUAAAAUUCUACUCAAAUUUAAAUGUAAUAAAAAUAAUUUAUUAUAAUAUUUAAGUAUAAUUUACUAUAGUAAUUUAUAAUAAUAUUUAAAUAUAAAUAAUACGUAUUAAUAAAGUACAAUUAAUAAUUUUAUAAUAAAAUAAUUUAUUCUAAAUAUUUUUUAGUAUGUUUUUAUUACUUACUUUUAAUUUAAUUUAUAAUUUUAGUAAAGCUUGGAAUAAUACCAUUCCAUCAAAAGAUGGAAUAUUUAUCCAAUUUAUUUCGGAAUAAUCGAAAAUAGUGAGAUUUGACUGGAAUAAAAUUAUUUCGCCAAAAAAAUAUUUCGUUUGGUGGAAUAGUGGAUAAUUUUUAUUUAGGGUUAUUUCAUACAGGUAUGUACAAAUAUAAUGAAUUGCAAAUAUAUCUUUAUAAAAUUUAAUUUCAUAUAUUAUACUUGUAAAAGUUCUAAUAUUUUCAAAUAUGUUCUUCUGAUAUGUUACUGUUAAAAUAUUAUUUAUUUUAUAAAUAGAAUGAUUUUUUUGCCAUCAUAAAUAUAUUCUUCCAAAUUAGGAGGGAUAAAAAGGUCAAUUUACCUUAUUAACAGACUAGAGUUAAAUUUUUUAUUUAUAAUUAAAUAAUUUUUUUCUAACGGAUCUUAACAAUACGGACAUAUUUGAAAAUAUCAAAAUUUUUAUAAAAAUAAUAUAUGAAACUUGAAUUUUAUAAAAAUAUAUUUAUAAAUUAUUAUAUUUACAAAGACCAGUAUAAAAUUAACUCUUUUUAUUAUCCUAUUUUAUCUGGGAAUCUAAGGAGGGCCAUAGGGUACGGUUAUGAGUACGCCAAAUUUUUCUGCGAGCAGCUUAUCCUGUGGAUCAAUGCUAUUAUGCCAACCACUCCACUACAAUCACACACGAGAACGAUCCGAGAGGAGAGCGAAAAUUUCGCGCCACGUGUCGAGCCCCGACCUAAAAUAUCAAACUAGAGGACGCGAAUGACACCGCCCCUAACUGCAGACUCAUUGUCAUCAUCGCCGUUCGUUCGUUAAUCCUCGCACCGUUAGAUCAUCAAUGGGAAACGGUCAAUUUUUAGUGGCAUCACACGGAGAGACAGAAAUUCAAAGGGUAAGCGAUUCUAUUAUGCAUCACAUUAUUAUUUAUUAAUAGUUAAUUUUAGGCUAAAUUAUAUAAAAUCGUUUUGUUAAAAUUUGAAUUUUUACUUUUUUUUUUUGUCAUUUAAAAAUCUACACUUUGCCCAUUUUUAAAAUAAAAAAUAUUCACAGAAGAAUACGAUGUGAACUGUAAUGACAAAAUGAUCAUUUUAUUCUUCACAAUUUUCAUCUUCUCCCUCAUCUUGCUCAUUUGCCGCCUCUAUUGACCGCAGUUCGCACAUCGAUCGGCCGCGGUUCUUCUCCAUUUUCUUCUCCACUUGCUUCCCUUCUCCUCUUGCAUCCUUAUUGCCCCUUCAUUUCAGCAACAGUAGGAAGAAAAUCGAGAUAGGCGUGGAUAGAAAGGUAGGCAAGGGUAAGGAGGGCGAAGGCCAUGCGGCGGAGGAGGGCGAGGAGGUGUUUGUCGGCGCGGACGGAGAUGUGGGUGAAGACGAGGCAGUGAAGAAGGGCGAGGCAGCGAGGCGGAAGAGAGCGAAGCACAGUAGAGAGUGCGGAGGGUAUUUUUGGUAUAAAAAAAUAUUUUAUAAUAGAACCCUAAUGACAAGGGGUGAAAUGAACAUUUUUUAUUUUAUAAGAUAACAAAGUGUAGGUUUUUAAAUGACGGAGGGGGAAUGUGAAAAAUCAGGUUUUUGACAGAGGAGUUUAAGAAAAAUAAUCCGAUUAAUUGAUGACGUUGCAUCAACAAUAUAAUUUAGGAUAAACUUCAAAUACUACUGUAAUUUCGCACUUUCUUACUUUAGUAUCUCGUAAUUUUUUUUUCAUCAGCACAUUCAUUAACUCUCCGUUAAAUUAUAUAAAAAAAACUUCAGAUACUCUAUUUAUAAAUAUUCACUUUUGUACCAUGUGGUUUACCAAAUUUUACUUUAGUACUUUGUGGCUCUAACUUUAUUAACGGAAAAAAUAAUGAAAAGAAAGGUAUAAAAUUAUAUAUUUUAAAUUGUAGAGUAUUAAAAUAAAAAAGUGGAAACUAUGAAAAUGAUAAUAUUUAAAGUUUUUUCUAUAAUUUAUGUAUUCUAGAUUUUUUUUUUAAGGAAAAAUUUCAAAAACCCCCCAGUGGUUUCGUAGUUUCUCACUUUGUCCCCCUGUGGUUUAAAAUGCAUCAAUUUGCCCCCCUAUGGUUUCGUUUUUAUCUUUUCGGUAGCUUUUUCGUCAAUAUUUUAUUAAAUUAUAUACAAAAAACUUCACAUAUCCAUUUAGAUUUAUCAAAUAUUCACUUUAGUACCCUUUAGUUUUAACUUUAUCACUGAUUUAAGAAAAAAAAAUAAUAAAAUUGAUAAGAAAAAGAGAAAAAGAAAUCACAAGGGGGCAAAUUAAUAUAUUUUAAAUCACAGAGGGGCAAAGUGAGAAACUACGAAAUCACAGGAGGGAUUUUUGAAGUUUUUUCUUUUUUUAAACUAGGAUGCGUCUUCUAGAAGAAGGUGAGAAUCUUUGAGAUCUUGGAUCCGGUGCACCAGUGGCCGUCGGUGGUCUACUUUUCCUUGAACUGUAUAGUAUCAAACUAUCAAUCCACCGUCCAAAUAAAUAGUUUUCUGAUUGAAAAUUUGAAACAACAUUUUUUUUUUUUUUUGGAAGGUUGUGAUUGGAUGAUAUAGGCCGUAGGGAAAGGUGAAUUGCUGGAUGGUGCUAAUAUUUUUUUUUUUUUUUUAUGGGUUAAUUGCAUCAGGUCUUCUCGAGUAUAGUAAAUUAUAAAUAUAUUUUUAUAAAAUUUAACUUUUAUAAAUUAUUGCUGUAAAAGUUGUAACAUUUUCAGAUAUGUCAUUGCCGUUAGAAUCCGUUAGAAAAAUUUAGUUAACCAUAAGUUAAAUACUUUAUCCUGAUUAAUUUUUGACAUUUUUAUCCCUUUUAUAUUAUACUAUUAUAAUUUUUGGAGAGAUAUAUUUGUGAUCGCAAAAUUAAAAAUAUAAACAUGUUUCUAACGGUUCUCUGACGGCAACAAACCAGAGGAACAUAUAUGAAAAUAUUAGGAUUUUUACUGUAAUAACUUAUGAAAGUUAAACUUUCCAGAAAUAUAUUUAUAGUUCACUAUAUUUGCGGGAACCUGUAUGCAAUUAACUCUUUUUUUAUUAUAUUAAAUUUUUUGGGUAAAUAUAAGAUUGGAAUUAACUCUAAACCUCUUCUGUUUGAAGAUUCGUCAAUUCAAUUCUCUGCAUCCAACUUUUAAGAGGUGUUACCGACCGUCACUAGAGCAAGUGGCAAAGGAUUUAGUGGUUGGUACCCGAGACCCAAGUUCGAAUCCUGGUUGAUUCACAUUUUUAGCUAAGUUUAUUUCUAAAUAAAAUAAACAAAGCGGCUAGCAUGCUACCUAUCUCUAAAAAAAAAAAAAAACUUUUAAGAGGUGUUCGGUUUUUCAAAAAAAGUGCAAAAUCUAAUUUUAGAGAUUUUUUAAAAAUAGAAAUAAUGCCUUUGUCCAUAAUUUUAUUUUUCGGAUAAAAUAUUUUGAAAAGAAAAUUACUAUUUUUCAUAAAAUCUAAAAAAAAUUGUUUUUUAGAAACCAAAUGAACAAAAGUAUUUUUUCAACUAGAAAACUAUUUUCUUUAAGAAAUGAAUUGCAAAAACAAUGCCAAAUAGUGGGAUGAGAAUAUAUUUAAUUUGUUUUUGUGAGUAAUAACAUGCCGCACAUGUUGUAUUGAUUCAGUUAACAUAUAAUUUCUAUAACGAAAAUACAUAUUGCCCCCUAAUGCCAGGUAAGUCCAAUGAUUAUUGUUUUGUUUAUCAAUACAGUUUAGAUGAAUUACGUGAACUACGUGAGAGAAGUGCUACGAUUAUUUUGAUGCACAGGUUAAGAAACAUUUUGGACAGCUCGAAGCCUAAAAGCGAGAAACUUGCGAGAUUUUAUGAACCGGACAUCAUGCCUCUUUGAUCGAUGUCCAUCCAGUUAUAAAUGGAAGAUCAGAUAAUCUUCAACUUUAGUCUCAAAAUAAAUAGCAAACAGAUCGUGCCUGACUUAAGUAGCAAAAACCUAAUUAAUCGAUAUCUAAUAUUUCAAAUUCAAAAUAUAAAUAAUUUAUAUUUUCAACUAAUUUUUUUUUUUUUUAUAAAAUAGUUAACAUACUAUUAUCUUUCUCUCUCUCUCUUUUUUUUUUUUUUUUAUAAAAAAAGGCGAUAUUGUCAACGUUGUGGGGUCACCGGAUGGGCCUGUGAGAUCCAAACAAGCAAUAAUUAUUUCUUGAAACAUUAAUACGAGACGGCAAGGUUUAACCCUCAAAGGCUCAAACAACCAGCCGUAUUUAACGUGCAACUUGGACGACUACAGCCAAUUUGAAUAUAUUUUAUAGAGUACAUCUCAUACAGGUCCCUACAAUAAUAAUGAAUGACAAAUACAUUUUUAUAAAAUUUAAUUUUCAUAUACUGUUUCUAUAAACAUUCUGAUAUUUUCAAAUAUGUCCUUCCAAUUUGUUAUCGUUAGAGAACUGUUUAUAUUUUCAAUUUUGACAUCACAAAUAUAUCGCCGCUCAAAAGUCUUAACAGUAUAAUAUAAAAGAGGUAAAAAUAUCAAAAACUAACCAGAAUUAAAUAUUUAAUCUAUGAUUAAUUAAACUUUUCUGAUGAAUUCUAAUGACGGGAAUAUAUUUGUCAUUCAUCAUGUUUACAGAAAACUGUGUGAAAUUAACCCUAUUUUAUAAUGAUUAAGUUACAUCAACUUUGAAU